AUUGAACGCUGGCGGCAGGCCUAACACAUCCAAGUCGAGCGCGCGGCGCACGGGUGAGUAAUGUAUGGGGAAUGUCCGAUAGAGGGGGGUAACUACUGGAAACGGUAGCUAUUAUAGCACAUUAUCUGAUAACCCACAUGGGAUUAGCUAGUAGGUGGGGUAAUGGCUCACCUAGGCGACGAUCCCUAGCUGGUCUGAGAGGAUGAUCAGCCACACUGGGACUGAGACACGGCCCAGACUCCUACGGAGGCAGCAGUGGGGAAUAUUGCACAAUGGGCGCAAGCCUGAUGCAGCCAUGCCGCGUGUAUGAAGAAGGCCCUAGGGUUGUAAAGUACUUUCAGUCGGGAGGCGUUACCGACAGAAGAAGCACCGGCUAACUCCGUGCCAGCAGCCGCGGUAAUAC
rnacentral:rRNA from 1 species